rnacentral:rRNA from 1 species
GACGUAGGGGGCUAGCGUUGUCCGGAUUUAUUGGGCGUAAAGAGCGUGUAGGCGGCCAUGUAGGUCCGGUGUGAAAACUCGAGGCUUAACCUCGAGAUGUCAUCGGAAACCAUUUGGCUAGAGUCCGGAAGAGGUGAGUGGAACUCCGAGUGUAGAGGUGAAAUUCGUAGAUAUUCGGAAGAACACCAGUGGCGAAGGCGGCUCACUGGUCCGGUACUGACGCUGAGGUGCGAAAGCGUGGGGAGCAAACAGG